rnacentral:rRNA from 1 species
GGGAGGCAGCAUGGGGAAUAUUGCACAAUUGGGCGCAAGCCUGAUGCAGUCCAUGCCGCGUGUAUGAAGAAGCCUUCGGGUUGUAAAGUACUUUCAGCAGUGAGGAAGUGGGUAUGUUAAUAGCCAUAUUCAUUUGACCGUUAGCUGCAGAAGAAGCACCGGCUAACUCCGUGCCAGCAGCCGCGGUAAUACGGAGGUGCGAGCGUUAAUCGGAAUUACUGGGCGUAAAGCGCAUGCAGGUGGUUUGUUAAGUCAGAUGUGAAAGCCCGGGGCUCAACCUCGGAAUUGCAUUUGAAACUGGCAAACUAGAGUACUGUAGAGGGGGUAGAAUUUCAGGUGUAGCGGUGAAAUGCGUAGAGAUCUGAAGGAAUACCGGUGGCGAAGGCGGCCCCCUGGACAGAUACUGACACUCAGAUGCGAAAGCGUGGGGAGCAAACCAGGAUUAGAUACCACUGGUAG